AUUGAACGCUGGCGGAAUGCUUUACACAUGCAAGUCGAACGGCAGCACGGGGCAACCUGGUGGCGAGUGGCGAACGGGUGAGUAAUACAUCGGAACGUGCCCAAUCGUGGGGGAUAACGUAGCGAAAGUUACGCUAAUACCGCAUACGAUCUACGGAUGAAAGCGGGGGAUCGCAAGACCUCGCGCGAAUGGAGCGGCCGAUGUCAGAUUAGGUAGUUGGUGGGGUAAAGGCUCACCAAGCCAACGAUCUGUAGCUGGUCUGAGAGGACGACCAGCCACACUGGAACUGAGACACGGUCCAGACUCCUACGGGAGGCAGCAGUGGGGAAUUUUGGACAAUGGGCGCAAGCCUGAUCCAGCCAUGCCGCGUGCAGGAAGAAGGCCUUCGGUUGUAACUAGCUUAGUCUAGGAAAAGGGUAGGCGAGGUAAGUACCUACGUGCUUGUAUGGUACUGGAGAAUAAGACACCGGCUAACUACGUAGCCAGCAGCCGCGGAAACG
rnacentral:rRNA from 1 species